GCUCCGGUGGCCUAGUGGUAGAGCGUCCGCAUCGGAUGCGGGAGGUUUCUGGUUUAAACACCGGGCGAGUGUU